rnacentral:misc_RNA from 1 species
AAGUGUAAUGACAUAGUAUUUAACCUUAUUACUUUCCCUUCAAAUGUACGUAUUGAGUGCAAAAGACUAGAUGCAACUUCAUUGUUGAUAUACAUGCCUAUGUUAAACAUGUAGUGGUUAUGAACAUGGGAUCAAGCCUGGAAUCAUCAAAUUUCUGUUUCCUUUCACUCAUCAAUGAUUAUUUGCAGAUACUAAAAGCAUUUUCCUGGAAUCUGCUGAAUCAAUAGAUUUGUAUGUUCAGGUGGAUGUGAGGUUUUGUAUAUGUUUGGGGGGAUAUGUCGAGUUUUCUUCAUCACCAUCAAUAAUUUGAUUUGUUUUAUUACCAUCAUUUUUAAUAAUUUUUGCCUUUUUGUCAGCAUCUCAUGCAAUUAACCAUUUAGAUUCUGCACACCACUCAACUAAGCUUUAGUUCUGAAUUCUGAACUAGUUGAGGUUUAGUUGAA